AGUCUUAAAGAUCUUGAACUUGUCAAGAGCCUCAAACUUUUCCUUAAUUAAGAACAGAUAACCAUAUCAAGAAUAGUCAUCAAUAAAAGUGAUGAAAUAUCGUGAGUUACAAAUUAUCGACGAGUAUGAUCCACUGAUAUCAAUAUGAAUGAUCUAUGAGCUAUGUAUAGCUCCCCUCUUCUUAAUCUUGGUUAAUUUGCCCC
rnacentral:lncRNA from 1 species